rnacentral:rRNA from 1 species
UACAGAGGGUGCAAGCGUUAAUCGGAAUUACUGGGCGUAAAGCGUGCGUAGUCGGUUAUCUAAGUCGGGUGUGAAAUCCCCGGGCUCAACCUGGGAACUGCAUUUGUGACUGCAUGGCUAGAGUACGGUAGAGGGGGAUGGAAUUCCGCGUGUAGCAGUGAAAUGCGUAGAUAUGCGGGGGAACACCGAUGGCGAAGGCAAUCCCCUGGACCUGUACUGACGCUCAUGCACGAAAGCGUGGGGAGCAAACAGG